GAUGAACGCUGGCGGCGUGCCUAAUACAUGCAAGUCGAGCGAACGGACGAGAAGCUUGCUUCUCUGAUGUUAGCGGCGGACGUGUGAGUAACACGUGGAUAACCUACCUAUAAGACUGGGAUAACUUCGGGAAACCGGAGCUAAUACCGGAUAAUAUUUUGAACCGCAUGGUUCAAAAGUGAAAGACGGUCUUGCUGUCACUUAUAGAUGGAUCCGCGCUGCAUUAGCUAUUUGGUAAGGUAACGGCUUACCAAGGCAACGAUGCAUAGCCGACCUGAGAGGGUGAUCGGCGACACUGGAACUGAGACGCGGUCCAGACUCCUACGGGAGGCAGCAGUAGGGAAUCUUGCGCAAUGGGCGAAAGCCUGACGGAGCAACGCCGCGUGAGUGAUGAAGGUCUUCGGAUCGUAAAACUCUGUUAGUAGGGAAGAACAUAUGUGUAAGUAACUGUGCACAUCUUGACGGUACCUAAUCAGAAAGCCACGGCUAACUACGUG
rnacentral:rRNA from 1 species